AGCGAACGCUGGCGGCAGGCCUAACACAUGCAAGUCGAACGAACUCUUCGGAGUUAGUGGCGGACGGGUGAGUAACACGUGGGAACGUGCCUUUAGGUUCGGAAUAACUCAGGGAAACUUGUGCUAAUACCGAAUGUGCCCUUUGGGGGAAAGAUUUAUCGCCUUUAGAGCGGCCCGCGUCUGAUUAGCUUGUUGGUGGGGUAAUGGCCCACCAAGGCGACGAUCAGUAGCUGGUCUGAGAGGAUGACCAGCCACAUUGGGACUGAGACACGGCCCAAACUCCUACGGGAGGCAGCAGUGGGGAAUCUUGCGCAAUGGGCGAAAGCCUGACGCAGCCAUGCCGCGUGGAUGAUGAAGGUCUUAGGAUUGUAAAAUCCUUUCACCGGUGAAGAUAAUGACUGUAGCCGGAGAAGAAGCCCCGGCUAACUUCGUGCCAGCCGCCGCAGUAAGAC
rnacentral:rRNA from 1 species